GAUGAACGCUGGCGGCGUGCCUAAUACAUGCAAGUCGAGCGAACGGACGAGAAGCUUGCUUCUCUGAUGUUAGCGGCGGACGGGUGAGUAACACGUGGAUAACCUACCUAUAAGACUGGGAUAACUUCGGGAAACCGGAGCUAAUACCGGAUAAUAUUUUGAACCGCAUGGUUCAAAAGUGAAAGACGGUCUUGCUGUCACUUAUAGAUGGAUCCGCGCUGCAUUAGCUAGUUGGUAAGGUAACGGCUUACCAAGGCUACGAUGCAUAGCCGACCUGAGAGGGUGAUCGGCCACACUGGAGCUGAGACACGGUCCAGACUCCUACGGGAGGCAGCAGUAGGGAAUCUUCCGCAAUGGGCGAAAGCCUGACGGAGCAACGCCGCGUGAGUGAUGAAGGUCUUCGGAUCGUAAAACUCUGUUAUUAGGGAAGAUCAUAUGUGUAAGUAACUGUGCACAUCUUGACGGUACCUAAUCAGAAAGCCACGGCUAACUACGUG
rnacentral:rRNA from 1 species